rnacentral:rRNA from 1 species
GCCCUUCCUUCGGGAAGGUGCCCUAGCGGCGAACGGGUGAGUAACACGUGGGCAACCUGCCCUCAGCUCUGGGAUAAGCCCGGGAAACCGGGUCUAAUACCGGAUAUGACUCCGACAGGCAUCUUGCGGAGUGGAAAGAUUCAUCGGCUGAGGAUGGGCCCGCGGCCUAUCAGCUUGUUGGUGGGGUAACGGCCUACCAAGGCGACGACGGGUAGCCGGCCUGAGAGGGCGACCGGCCACACUGGGACUGAGACACGGCCCAGACUCCUACGGGAGGCAGCAGUGGGGAAUCUUGCACAAUGGGCGAAAGCCUGAUGCAGCGACGCCGCGUGAGGGAUGACGGCCUUCGGGUUGUAAACCUCUUUCAGCAGGGACGAAGCGAAAGUGACGGUACCUGCAGAAGAAGGACCGGCCAACUACGUGCCAGCAGCCGCGGUAAUACGUAGGGUCCAAGCGUUGUCCGGAAUUAUUGGGCGUAAAGAGCUCGUAGGCGGCCUGUCGCGUCGGCUGUGAAAACCUGGGGCUCAACCCCGGGCCUGCAGCCGAUACGGGCAGGCUAGAAUUCGGUAGGGGAGACUGGAACUCCUGGUGUAGCGGUG